GAGCUUGCUCCUUUGACGUUAGCGGCGGACGGGUGAGUAACACGUGGGUAACCUACCUAUAAGACUGGGAUAACUUCGGGAAACCGGAGCUAAUACCGGAUAAUAUUUCGAACCGCAUGGUUCGAUAGUGAAAGAUGGCUCUGCUAUCACUUAUAGAUGGACCUGCGCCGUAUUAGCUAGUUGGUAAGGUAACGGCUUACCAAGGCAACGAUACGUAGCCGACCUGAGAGGGUGAUCGGCCACACUGGAACUGAGACACGGUCCAGACUCCUACGGGAGGCAGCAGUAGGGAAUCUUCCGCAAUGGGCGAAAGCCUGACGGAGCAACGCCGCGUGAGUGAUGAAGGUCUUCGGAUCGUAAAACUCUGUUAUUAGGGAAGAACAAACGUGUAAGUAACUGUGCACGUCUUGACGGUACCUAAUCAGAAAGCCACGGCUAACUACGUGCCAGCAGCCGCGGUAAUACGUAGGUGGCAAGCGUUAUCCGGAAUUAUUGGGCGUAAAGCGCGCGUAGGCGGUUUUUUAAGUCUGAUGUGAAAGCCCACGGCUCAACCGUGGAGGGUCAUUGGAAACUGGAAAACUUGAGUGCAGAAGAGGAAAGUGGAAUUCCAUGUGUAGCGGUGAAAUGCGCAGAGAUAUGGAGGAACACCAGUGGCGAAGGCGACUUUCUGGUCUGUAACUGACGCUGAUGUGCGAAAGCGUGGGGAUCAAACAGGAUUAGAUACCCUGGUAGUCCACGCCGUACACGAUGAGUGCUAAGUGUUAGGGGGUUUC
rnacentral:rRNA from 1 species